CUAAUGAGGGCCCUCAUGGGGUUUUUGAUUAUGUGAUUACUUGGCCGUUUUUUUAAUGAUUAUUUGAUUAUUAAGCCAAAUAUUUCAUGAUUAUUUGAUUACCUAGGACUGUAUUUUUAGUUUAUGAUUAUUUGAUUACUAAAGAUAAGCAAAUAUUUAAUGAUUAUGUGAUUAUAUUGGCAAAAAAAAUGGUGAUUAUGUGAUUACUAGGACCCCCCCAUGAGGGGCCUCCUUAGUAGUAAAGUCAACCAUACCUGCAAGUAUUACGAGCGCCACCAUAGGGUGGUUGGCCGAUAUGAAAUAUCGUACAUGUAGAUGACCACG
rnacentral:lncRNA from 1 species